AUACGGAAGGUCCGGGCGUUAUCCGGAUUUAUUGGGUUUAAAGGGAGCGCAGGCGGAGAUGCAAGCGUGACGUCAAAUUUCGGGGCUCAACCCCGUCUCGCGUCGCGAACUGCGUCCCUUGGUUGCGGGAAGGGGAGGCGGAACUCGUGGUGUAGCGGUGAAAUGCAUAGAUAUCACGAAGAACUCCGAUCGCGAAGGCAGCCUUCCGGCCCGUCAACGACGCUCAUGCGCGAAGGUGCGGGUAUCAAACAGGAUUAGAUCCCCUGGUAGUCCGCACAGUAAACGAUGGACACCCGCGGUUUGGCCUGUAUGGCUGAGCCGCCAAGCGAAAGCGUUAAGUGUCCCACCUGGGGAGUACGCCGGCAACGGUGAAACUCAAAUGAAUUGACGGGG
rnacentral:rRNA from 1 species